CUGAAACUGAAAUUAGGGCAGAAUUCCACCUCCAUUAACAAGGUGGAAGGUCCUUUGGCGGAGGCCGAAUCGAAUGAUCUUUGUCCGGUCCAUUCUCCACCACAAACGCCAUCUUCAAUCCCCACCCAGUGUGAAGCUCCAGAUGUUUAUUCUCAUUACAAAAUCAUAAACCAUACCUGGAUUAUCAGCUCUAAACCUUAUGGCAGUCCACCCCCCUGUCGGAACUCCGACAGUGUUCCUCUCCGGAGGAUCCACCAAAUUAUACUUCGCCGGAUCCUUGACAGGAUCGAAGUUCCCAAUCCCUGACCCGACCACGAAGAAAUUAUACCCAUGGAGAUGGAAAGGAUGAGAUUCAACCGACAGAAGAUUCGUAUCCUGCAGCACCAAUUCCACCGUCGAAUUGAACGCAAUUUUGCUCAGCCGAGGUUGUCCGCUCACCGACGUUUUCAGGUUCGCCGUAAGCGGCGCUCCGGUGUAGUUAAAAACCGUCGGAGGACGGUCAGGGAAGUCCAUUUUGAACACUCCUUUAAGGUUGUAAUAAUGAGCCUGUAAGAGUCCAAUUUUAGGCAUCACAAAGGUUAUGUUGUUCAAUGAAGCCGCCAUUUGUGUCCCAUUCAGACAAUCCUCACAAGGAUUCACUCCCAAGCCAAUCGUGUAGAACAGACGCCGGUCGACUUUCCGCGGCACCGCCGCCGGAAACUGCUUUGAAUUGAGGCUCCGGAGCUUUGCAUUGUAACUUAGAGCAUAAGCUGUGUUGUUAAGUGAUGGCAGCUGAGGUAAUGUCGGAAGUACGAAGUUUGGGAUGCCUUUAUAUUGCAGAAUGGCUGCAGCUGUUUUGUUGUCGAUAGAAAUCGGCGCGUCCAUGAAAGGCCUUGCGGCCAUGAAGUAUCGCCCGGGGAGCUGGUUCGCUCGGACAAGAACAUUUGUUGUCUGUCCAGGAGCUAUUAGGAUUGUCUCAGUCGAGAAAGGUUUGGUGUAGACAGCGUCGAUUUCGACAACCGUCAUCUUGUGUCCAUCAAUGGCGAAGAAAAGCUCGUCGUUGAGCGCAGCGUUGACGAUUCUCAAGAGAACACGGGAAGAGCGGCCCCGGCUUGCCGUUGAUCGUAUGCGCAUCCGAUGUUUUCGGAGAUUUAUUAGUCCACCACGAGACCUGGUCCUGAGAAUCGUAUCUACUGAAGUGGGCUGGGCGUUUUCGGAUCUGGGCCGAUCCGAUCCACUAGGCAACUUGAUUGUACCCAUUUUAGUGGGCCUGGGCAUAGGCAGCCCGGCCCGCUAGAGAACGUCCUUUGGGCUUCCUCUUCAUGGAUAAUCGUGGAGUGGCUACGACGCUGAGCGCAGGGGAGUCAUGGACGAAGCGCCGAUCAGCCAUUGCUGGAAGAAUUCUCAUCCUCGCCUCACACAGCACAAUCAAGUCGAAUGAGAUAGGCAUCGGACAGAAGAUUAUGGUUAUGGUAGAGGAGUGAUCUCGGAAGCUAAUCUGAUGAACUAGUGAGAACGAACGUCUCGAUUCCAUUCGUAUGUUGAAUAGGGAUAGCCAGAUAUGUUUGCCCUCCAUGGGAUUAUUGAACCUUUACAGCUCUUUUGUGGAAAGGCCCACAGCCCCACAGCAAAAGGGAAAUGAGACAAUUGAGAGAAAUUGCAUUUCGUUAUCUAAUUAUGAGGGGUCUUAUUAAUUGAAAUGUCUCAUUCCACUCUCACAGGAUCAGAAACAUUUGGUUGGCUAUUGUCUUCCUAUCCUCUCUACAUAUGAAUGAAUGCUUGCAAACAGCUUUCAGGCUUUAAUUCACAGGACAACUUGCAGAAAUAAGGACCAGAAAAUUGAGUAGACAUGUUUGUGUACCUGUAAAUGGCUGUGAAGUAAAUGCUGCUGGUCUUCCUUGUUGGUACUCCAUAGAAAACAGAUUUUGCAAGUCAUCCUCCCAUGUCAGGAUGAAUCAAGAAAUGAAUCGGCCAUUGAAACCACUGGUGGGGAAAUAGUUCUCCCAAUUUCUGGUAUGGGGCCUGAAAUUCCUUGAGUUGAUGCAUUGUAAUGCAGGUGAGCAGCAUUCACCAGGUGAGAGGGAAAGCUAGACGUGCACGAUGGAAAUAUCUGCGGGGAGAAAUUGGAGAUGUUAAACAUAGAUUGAACAUAGUUGAUUAUUUCGUCGAGCAUUCCAGCUUUCCCAGUUAUCUUGUUGCACCCCGGAACCAAAUCUUGCAGAAUUGGAAAGCUGUUGAAGUCACAAACAUCAGGGCACGCCAAACAGAGCAAGUUUGCUAGAACAUCACACACUCACCUUAGGGUUUUGAGCUUUAUCAACCUUUCUCUUUUUUGAGUUUGCUGUAGACGAGCCAAAAUCAGCUUCCUUUCCCACGCCGGCCGGUGCUGUUGCCGGCGGGGAGAUAACUGUCCCCGGAAAAGCUCUGCUCACUUCGACCUCGGACCGAUUCCCGUAAUUCAGGAUCAUCCGACUCAAGUCCCCGACCCACCCGUUUUCCGUACCCGGGUCCGGCUUCAUAGCUCCGCCCACCAUGACAUCACCAAUUCCACGAUCAUCGUUAUUUAAAGCGAAGAAAGCACCAGCGCCUGGCAGAUCGUUUUCACUGACGUAGUAAGUUGCAGGAAAUUGAUCCCGCUGCCAAUUCAGGCGCCGCUCAAGCACGCUCAUUUUGGCAUUUCCUGCAUCGGCGUUCAAACAAUGCAUCAUCUCCGGCGAGAGCUGCUCCAGAGCUUCUUCAAAGGUAGGAAAAGGUAAAGUAUCAAGAGCAAUCCCUAAUCGUCUUAUGUGAUCUUGUGAGUUCUGAGGAAAAAUAGUGGCUAAGGCAUAGUUAUAUAAACAUAUAUAUAAAGAGAGAGAGAGAGAGAGAGAGAGGGGGGGGGGGGGGUGUGGGGUACUUUAUAAUAUAAAGUGGCCGGAAAUGAUAACGACCGCCGGAAGAUGACUGAAGCAGCCGGAAUACAUGUGAGAGGGGGAUACAGUGGUAGUGGGCCCGGCCACGAGCAGAGGCCAUGGUGGGUGGGCCCACAAAUCACGUGGGCCUGUCUGUUGGACACGGCCCAUAUAUAGAUGAUUCUCAUAGUGGAUCAGAUUUGUGACACAAUUUUACUUUUCAUAUUCAUCAUACAUGCAUACAGGACAAUGUAAUAGUGGGCAGAUAUAGGAUUGGAGCAAAGAUUUUGUGAAAAAAUCAUUGUCAGUGGGGUACCAUUUCUGCUUUUCUGGUGCUUGGAUUUGGAACAAUGUUGUGAAGAACCUGAAAGCUGAUUGUAAUGGAUAAACAUGAAAUGGGCCUCUUUCCAGCAGAGUACUUUACAGGUCCUUAAAAGAUUCUUUUUGGAAGAAUAAUGUUUGGGCCAAAUAACACCCGGCCCAACUGUAGCGUUUAUGAAGUCCAUGAUAGAAGGCCCAACAG